rnacentral:rRNA from 1 species
AACGAACGCUGGCGGCAUGCCUAACACAUGCAAGUCGAACGAGACCUUCGGGUCUAGUGGCGCACGGGUGCGUAACGCGUGGGAAUCUGCCCUUCGGUUGGGAAUAACUGAGAGAAAUUUCAGCUAAUAUCUUAUAAUGUCUCCGGACCAAAGAUUUAUCGCCGAGGGAUGAGCCCGCGUAGGAUUAGGUAGUUGGUGUGGUAAUGGCCUACCAAGCCGACGAUCCUUAGCUGGUCUGAGAGGAUGAUCAGCCACACUGGGACUGGGACACGGCCCAGAAUCCUACGGGAGGCAGCAGUGGGGAAUAUUGGACAGUGGGCGAAAGCCUGAUCCAGCAAUGCCGCGUGAGUGAUGAAGGCCUUAGGGUAGUAAAGCUCUUUUACCCGGGAUGAUAAUGACAGUACCGGAAGAAUAAGCUCCGGCUAACUCCGUG